rnacentral:lncRNA from 1 species
UUUUUUUUUUUCCAGAAAUAAUUCAGUAACCUGGGUUUGUUGCAGCAAAGAAAGUAACAGUGCAAACUGUAUUUCACCUAAAGCUGAGUCUAUCUGGACUAUCAUCACGAUUUUUUAUUAAACUAACACAUUUUUAGAGAUAAUUGGUUCAAAUAAGUCAAACCCAAAACUGCACUGGUCAUCACUUUUAUCAGCAAGUGUCAUGUGCUUUUAAAUUUGUUAGCCUCUUUUAUGAAGACUCCUGGACAGGGAUAGGCUUCUUUCUCAUACUUCUGCAGGUAACAUUUCCUCUCAUUUCAUAUCCAAAUGAUGUGAAGUCCUCUCGAAAUUUUCCAAUAAAAGAAAGGAAAAUAUUUCUUUUCUCCACACUGACCAGAGUGGCUGAUAGCAGAGACUUCACUUCUGAGAGAGAGAAGUCCAACCCCAAAUCUAAACAGAGUACUCCUAGGACAUGAACCCAGGUUAUUCCCGGUAGCUGAUCCAGCUCUCUUCGUCCCUUAUAGUAUUACACCGCAAAAAAACUUCACUGUGAAAAUUUGAUUGAAGCUAUUGUGCUCCUACUGGUUCUUCUUGCUUCCAUGAACUGUCAUUUUCUAGCAAGGAAAUUGUAGUACAGUGGCAUCUGAAACUCUUUAGAAGUAGCAGUCCUAUGUAGCUACUUAUUUCUCUCAACAGACUGUUAUCGAGUGAGUUGACAGCUAUCUCUGAUGCAGGCAUUGCAGAUGCCUGUAGUUUGAAAAAAGGAAUCUCAGCCUGUUCAAAGCUGAAUCACACUCUAUGUACCCAUGAAUGAGUCUUUGAGAUAUAGGACAAUCCAGAAAGCUCUAUUUCAGACAUAUUUCAUGGAUGAAAAUCAUUUUUCUGCCUACACUCACUCUCUACUGAAUCAAUCAGCAGUCUUCAGUACUCCUGAAGAAGAAUUAGACCUUUGAUAUGAAAAGAGAACAUUCUGGCAGAACACAGAGUGCCUAAUAUUCAUGAACCACUAUUAUUUUGCCUUUUCAUUUAAAUAGAGAUCUCCUUGUACCUUGCUCAGAUGGCAUAUUCGGUGCCUCAGGCAAGACUAUGCAGUUGGCUCUACAGCUUGCAAAGACCUUGGCUACAUUACAAGUGUCAUAUUUUCUCACAGAUAAAUUGUUCUUUAGCAUUGCCUAAGUAAUAGGGUUUCCAUCAGUAUCAGUUUUGCAUACCUCCUUCCCCUUUUUCAUCUCCCUUUUAUCAUACAGACGCAUUAACUGUGAGCAUUGCAAAGAAGCUCUAUUUAUGUUUUAGUUCCCCUGAGUCCCUCUUGCCAUCUCCAAGGGAAUGGAUGGCAUACAGGAUCAAGUUCCAUAUUCCACCCUCAUGUCUUUUUUUAGCACCUGCUUUAAAGAAUCCAAGGCCACAGUGCAACAGACAAGGUUUAGUGAGUGUGUACAGCACUUGUUAUGCAGUAGGAUGGUGACCGAAACGAGCUGUGCUCUCCCAAUAUGCCCACUUCAGCCAUCCAUUCCUGCAAGUCCUGAGACUUGUGAGGAGUCAGCUGAGGUGAUGGAAUGGGAUUUGUGCAUGUACAAGUGGCAGAGAAGUGGGUCUGCAAAUUCCCAGUAAGGAGCUGACUUAGAUGCACCAACAAGAAAUUCAUUUACUUUUGUUUGGCUACAUAAUCUCUGUUAUUAAAUCUACAUUUUCUCUUUUGCAGUUCUGAGAAAGGACAGUUUGACACUAAUAUACAGCCACUUUUAUCCCAAAAGAAUGUUUUCCUCCUAAUUAAAAUCCGUUCCUCUGUUUAAAUGAUUCCCUUGAUGACACGAAUUAUACAUGGCAUGAAUGGCAGGGCAUCAGGCUGUAAUGUCCUGAAGAGACACAUGGAGCAAGGCCAUGCGGGGUUAUUACUUCUCUUUUGGACAGCACACCCUACUCUCUCCUCCCUAGACAAAAGAUUUCAAUCUUGCUUUGUGAAAUCCCGACUUAAAAUCCUCCCUGCCCUCAGCAGCCAGCCCCUCUCUGCUGCAGGAACUUGGCUAUGACUAUUCUUCACCCCACGUGCCCUCCAGUCUGAGCUACCCUGCCCAGCACCACUCCAGCCAAAGUCCCAGCUUCUCACCCCAUAUCUGUACAGCAUCUGGCACUGAGGACAAAUAUAGCAAAAAGGUACUAUGGCAGCCUUCCUCACCAGCUCCCAAAGCUGAAAAACUUGAGGAAUCCAGACAUUGUGAUUGAUCUGUUUCUUUAGGUAGGUUUUGAAUAAAUUGCAGCUGUCCGAUGCUGGGUGAGAGUAGAAGAGUUUGUUACCCUACCCACAUCUACAACAAAAAUCAACCCAAGAUUUACCAGAAUAGGGAAAGCCACAUGAGCACAGGCUGAUGCUUGCAAUACCUGCAGCAUCCAGCUUUCUCCAGACAGAUGACACCAGUUAAGAAAGCCAACAAAUUGCACAGAUUUUUCUGUUUCGACUCCCAGCAAUACAUUAUUGCUGAUGGGGGCUAGGUUGAGGGUAACAACCAACCAACCAAAGGAAACUUUAGCAAAUGUGCAGUAACAUGGCUGCAGCCCAAGUCGCCAUUCAGAGUGUAAUUCCACUCCAUUGAGGACUCAGCAGGAUUGGUUGCAGCAGAUGAACAAGUCACUCUGUUAUCCUGAAGUGUGACAAAUGCCACCGCAAUGCUGCCUGGAGAAGAAGGGACUGAACACAAGUUUCAAGCCCAAUUGCUACCUGAGAAAGCUGAAGAAAAAGAGUGUCAGCACUCUGCCAGAAAAUGUUGAGGGUGCAAGCACAGUGGGAUUUGGGUUCCCUCCACUGCAAUCCAAUGGACUUUAGACAAAUCACUUUGGGUAUGUCUAUAUUAAGAGAGUGAAGGCUCAAAACGCCUCAACAAUUCCUCUGGGGCCUCUCUAGGCCAGGAAGAAGAAGCAAGAGAGAAGUGCAAAGCAAACUUUAGCUCACUGCUGGCGUUUGGGAGUGUAUUUCCUUUUGAUAUAACAUCUCAGGCAGAGUUCUGCAUCAGCAUUUCCAUAUUUUAUGAGCCUCAGACUGUUAUAUCCCCGCAACACCACCCAAGCUCACCUAAUUGGAAUGAAAUCAAAAAUAAAAACCAAAAAACCAUAACCUUUUGAUGUUCCCAAGCGGAAAGUGGUAUAAAAGCCCCCAAGAAAUACCUUGCAUGGCAUGAUAGUCACUGAAUGUUAACUGGGCCUGUGACAUACACUUUUCAUUAGCGUUCUUGGAAAGUCAAUGAUUCUUGGGUUCUUAAGCAAAUAUGUUAUUUUUUUUUUUUCAUACUGAAUGGAAAGAUGGAAUUCCCAAAGGGUAUCAACUGCAACCCAGCACAGCAGAAGUGUAAUUUGUCAAACAACAACACAGUGAAAUAUUUCACAGCUGAAACUAUAUUAACAUGACAGAAUCUGAAGCCAGUUAACACUUCUCAUUAGAAUUUUACUUCAGCAUAACUCUUGAGCAAAAUGCCCUUAGCCCAAACAAACAUGUUUCGUGUUUCUUGAAACACCACAAAUGUUGCCAUCUACCUCCUUUCCCUGUCAUGCUCCCUUCGUGAGAAAAGUUCAAAGCCACAAGUUAAUAUUUGGGUCUCUCUUUGAGUAGCAGAGGUCAAGACAUCUACCAGCCAUGCAUUCCGAAGCAGAACUCUUGCAGUCUACUUGCAGCCAUACAGCGAGUAGCCAGUUUUUCUCUUGGACUGUAAUUACAUCUCUUAGGGAGAUAAAUCAACAUUAAUGCAGGGUCAGGCUAUGACACGGGAACUCAUCAUAACAUACAGUUUGCUCCUAAGUUCAGGUUCUGCGUGACUCAAAUUGAAUAACAAAUAAUAUAUGGAAAGUGGCACGCUGUAUGUAAAAAGCUUGUGAGCUGAAGAAGCAGCUACAUUCACAGCAAAUCUCGAGCACUGUCAGUCAUCCAUUGAGCUCAGCUACUUGGUGUGACAGUCAUUACAAGACGGGAGUUUUACAGGCACUUAAAUGCUGUCCUCAAACAGUUACUUGCUGGCAAAUCAACAGUGUGUGGUCAGGUAAGGUGCCAUUCAUAUGUGCUCUGGGACUACUGAGUAGGUGUUGGCUGUCUAACCCUCCAUAAGGUUUAUUCAGUAGAGGCAGUAAAGCUCUAGUAUUUAUAACAUUACUAUCUGCACACAUUUAAGUCUUGCAUAUUGCUGCAUUUUUAUCUCAGGGAUCACUCAAAGAAACCAGAAUUUUGCAGCUUGUUUUAUUCAGAACGAGGGUGGUUUCUGCUGUGUUGUUGGUACAUCUUUGCCUUCACCAGGACAGAACAAAGUGUUUCUUGAAGAGAUGAUGAAUCAACAUCAGAGUCUGCCCAAGCAUAAAGGACCAGUGCAAAACACUUUCUGACUUCCUGUGGUAUGUUCAGUAUCUUUUUACCUUAAUCUAACCAAGGGUAUUUGUGAAUCUAGUCACCACUUCCAAGGCCACUUAACACUCAGCCCUAAAUGCUUUCUCCCCUUAGCCAGGCUAUCUCAUUGAAUUAGGUGUUCAGAAGUCUGCUUCUGUCCAGGGUGUGGACCCCUGGAAUCAUAGACAUAUGGGCACUAUAUAGCAUAAGCACAGCCAGUCUGCCUCAUGUGGGAUGGAUGGGGCUCACUGUCCCAGGGCUGCAAAACCAGCCAGGUAUGUCGGUGGUGCAAAAGACACGAGGUGGGCAGUAAUGCUCAAUGGCUUGUCUAGGAUUCCUGCAUGUAAAGCAGCUCAGGCGGAGUGAUUCUUUCAGGAGGACUGGGUAGAGCAAAGAAGUUGAAUUUGUUUUCCCUGAGCCCUGAGAAGGUGCCACAAACAUCAGCCAUUCUUUCCUGAGGAUAAUGAAUUGCACUUUUAUACUCACCACUCAUUCACUGCAGAUCGUUAUGUAAACUAUUUGUGACACUUGCAACAUGACAAAGCCACAAAGCCUAAAUGCGCUGUCACUCUAAAGGUCCCAAUGGAGACGAACCAAAACCAUAGCUCUGAAUAACCUCAGAUCACCCUAGUCCUGAGGGAAAUGAUGAGCAGAGAGGGCUGGCAGCAACACGAACCAGAUGUCAGACAAGACCCUCCCCAUACUCUUUUCUCACUAGGACCACAGAGUAUUUUCCCUCCCUUUCUCCCCCCUGAGGCUUUUCAUCUUUUUUCUUUUUUUGCAAACAGCUGAGAAUUACUGUAUCCCCACAGCAGUUUUUCCAUGACAGGAUGCUAAGCGCUACCUAAAGUCCUUCUGUGGAUCCAACAAGUGGAUCGAUGCAAUAGGAAAGCAGAAGCAUCAGAGGAUGAAAGCUGGCAAGCCUCCCUGGGCCAUUGAAGGCUUUUUGGGCUCAGCUGCUUGCUCUGUCAGAGACAACCAUCCCACAACAUCAGCAGGAGAGGCACUCAGCCCCAGCUCCCUCACUGCCAAUCCAGCAGUGCCAGGCCAAAAGGGCCAUCCAGCCAUUAAAAGGCAGAUCCCACAGACCACCCCAAAGCUAAUCCUGUUGUUUUGUCACCUCCCUGCAGAACUGUUUUCCUCACUGUUUUCUCACUGGACUGCAGACUGUUUAUUCUUAUGUAUGCUGUUUCCUCUUGUGCAAAGAAACUGAAUAUAGCAACAAAACUUCCAGUAUAAACUUACUGUUCUUGCUACCAGGCACUCUGCCAAAUAAUCACUGAAACUCGGAAGGGACAGGUAAUAAAACAUAGGAGAAAUAUGCAGGUGAAUUCCAUAUUCACUUAUCCUCAGUAGUGAUAUUAUCACUAACAGUGAUAGUGAGCUACAAGUGAUCCAUUGCUUUGCCAGAUAUAAAUAAGGGCUGGGCUUGACAUGCUUUUGAAUGAAGCCUCUAGUUUGGCAAUCAAAGUGUCUUGAGUGCAUCCGCCACCCACACUUUAACCCAUUGCUAGUGUAGUCCUGACACAAGCGCAGUAGCAACAGCUGAAUGUGAAAUGCCUGUACAUCCAGAUAUAUCAAAGUGAACCAGUCUUGAUCCCAGAGAGUGGUAAUUGACCUCAGGCAUAGGAGCCAGGAGGCUUAAACAUGACAUUUUGGUAAUUGCAGCUUUUCUCAGCAGCAGCAGGGGAAGGGAAACAUUUAUUGCAUGCUCCUAGAAAUUCUUAGCAAUCAAAGCC